rnacentral:rRNA from 1 species
AAACUUCCAACAACGGAUCUCUUGGUUCUGGCAUCGAUGAAGAACGCAGCAAAAUGCGAUAAGUUAUGUGAAUUGCAGAAUUCAGUGAAUCAUCGAAUCUUUGAACGCACAUUGCGCCCGCCAGUAUUCUGGCGGGCAUGCCUGUUCGAGCGUCAUUU